rnacentral:misc_RNA from 1 species
GAUGAAGAACGCAGCGAAAUGCGAUACGUAAUGUGAAUUGCAGAAUUCAGUGAAUCAUCGAAUCUUUGAACGCGUAUUGCGCUCUCUGGUAUUCCGGAGAGCAUGCUUGUUUGAGUAUCAGUAAACACCUCAACUCCCUUUUCUUUUUUGAAAUUGGAGCUGGACUUGAGUGAUCCCAACGCUUUCUUCCAAGAAAGUGGCGGGUUGCUUGAAAUGCAGGUGCAGCUGAACUUUUCUCUGAGCUAUAAGCAUAUCUAUUUAGUCUGCCUAAAAAACAGAUUAUUACCUUUGCUGCAGCUAACAUAAAGGAGACUAGUUCUUGUGCUGACUGAUGCAGGAUUCACAGAGACAGCUUCGGCUGACUUUGUAAACUCGAUCUCAAAUCAAGUAAGACUACCCGCUGAACUUAAGCAUAUCAAUAAGCGGAGGA